CUCUUAUCAAGAGAGGUGGAGGGACUGGCCCGAUGAAGCCCGGCAACCAGCUACUUAAAAUUUAUUUUAAGUAAGCAGUGGUGCCAAAUCCUGCAGAACGGAUUGUUCUGAUAGAUGAGAA
rnacentral:ncRNA from 1 species